UGGGUUGGUGCAGUGCUUGUGCUUCUGUUGGAGCUUCGCUGCUGCUGCUGCUAUGGUAUGUCCGUUUCUCUCCUCCUUCAACUCCAACAACAGGCAUAACCCUUCUCCCUUCUAUUUCAUUCCUCAAUUCAUACAUGCAUUCUUUGACUCACAGUAAUAUGAGAGCUAGAUUUAUCCAGUUAGGUUUUCUAUUCCGCGCCCCUGAUUCCGUCCUCCAUCAUCCAGUUUUCGGUCCAAACCCCCCGAUUUUGAACCUCUGCCGUUACUGGGCAACCUUUCCCGUCACGGCGCCGCCACUCUGCGAAACCCCAGACGGAGCAGCUAGUGUAGGAGAGGACAGAGGGUGCCCAAACAACUCCGGGGACGUGCUUCGGAGAUGGGGCUGCUCUGACACUGAGAUAUCGAAGAUAUUUCACCGUAGGCCAGCUUUGCGCAAAGCUGAUGUUCACUGCCUUCAAUCCAAACUCAACUUACUGAGUGAAUUGGGGCUCACCGGUUCUCACCUUGUCAGGAUCAUUAACUGUCGCCCCCGUUUCCUCAGUAAUAACCUCAAGCAGUGCCUGGACGAGCGCCUUGAAUAUCUGGAAGCACUGUUUGGGUCGAGGGAAGCACUCCUGAAAGCCAUUGUUCGAAAUCCUUCCCUGCUCACCUAUGACUUGCACGAUAAGAUUAAGCCUGUCGUUGACGCAUACUACCAAAUGGGGUUUACUAGGAAGGAUUUAGUUCCCAUGCUUCUAUCACGCCCGACCUUGAUUCCCCGGACCUCUCUCAAUGAUGAGAAGCUGGAUUUCAUUCGCAGGACUGGGAUCUCCAAGGAUUCGAAAAUGUACAAGUAUGUGGUCACCUUGACUGCCAUCUCACGCAUUGAGACGCUUCAUGAGAAGCUGGCAAACUUGGAGAAGUUUGGGUUUUCGGAGCAAGAGGUUUUUGGCCUUUUUGGACGAUCACCUUUUAUUUUGACGCUAUCCGUGGACAAGGUUCAGCGGAAUAUGACUUUCGUGUUGGGCACGAUGAAACUAUCGGCCAAAGCGGUCCUUGAUCACCCAUUCUUGCUGCUGUCCAAUUUAGAAGCUGUGUUAAAGCCACGCUUCCUCCUGGCAGGCAAGAUAGAGGAUAUGGAUCUUGUCCCGCAAAUUAAAGGGCCUCUAAUGCUAAGGGCUCUGAGAAUGGUGGAGAUGCGGUUUGUUAAGGCAUUUAUUAAAUGUCACCAAAAUGCUGUUUCUGAUGAAUUGAUGGAAUUCUACACAAAUGCAAAAUGUGUCAAGCGAUUGGCAGAAUCCUCGAAGAAGACUGUGUAUAAAGGUUUCCCUUUCUGAACAUCUUUGGACAUCAGGUACUUAUAUUUUUUCUCAGAAGUAUUCAACUAUAUCAAUAUAUUCUUAGUUUUUCAAAAGUAGGGAUACAUUAUGGUUGAUAAUGGUAAUUAUAGUACUUAGUUUGUACUGUGGAUAUUAUUAUCCAGUUAAUAUUCUACCAUUUUUUUAGUAGUAAUAUUAAUAAUAUCACUAUAACCCAGUAAUGUGACAGCAUUAAUAUUAGAGUAUAUAAUAUUAACUAAAAUGAAGAAAAAUUUGUUUAAUAGUAUCACUCAGACUUUUGCUUCUUUUUUUUCCUAUUUGUUUAUAAAAGCUAUACUUAUCAACUUUGUUUUUUAUUCAUAAAAUGAAAUUUGAACACAAAAAGUUUUUAUUUUAACAAUAAAUACAGAAAACUAAAGAUGAAGAACUAACCACAAAACUAGAAAAUAGAAAACAAAUAACUAACCAUGUUCCUAACUGGCCUCUUUGUCUUUUAUUUUGAUUCUUUUUUCCCAGUUCUUCAUUCCACCAUGCAGGAACUGAUAUUGAUUGUUGUAAUUCAUAAUGUAGUUCCUUGAUGAAUAUUUUUUCAUCUGUAUCCUUGUGCCAUUUUUUUUUUUCAGAGAUUCUUAUGCAUAUGCCCCUGCAUCCCAAUGUUAGCGUUAUUAUAAAAAAAAUGCAGUAAAUUAUAACAACAACAUCAAGCCAUAAUCCCCCUAGCUGGGGUCAGCUGUAUAAAUUCUAGCUUGCUAAUAAAGAAAGUUACUCGUAGAAAAAAGAAGAAGAAGAGCAUCUCUUUAUGCAUAAGCAGCGAAGAGUGCCGCCCGCCUUCCCAAAUCCCAAUAGCUUACCUUGUACUCCCUGAAUUAAGAGAUCUGAGUUCCACAACUAUUAUCAAAGUGAAAACCGAAACAGAGAGACUAGAAAAGAAAAGAAAGUCACCCAUAGAAAAACAGUAACAUACCAAGCCUUUGUCCCUCCAGAUGGGGUUGGUUGCAUGAAUUCUAGCUUUCCGUACUUUUUUGUCUUGUCUAUGCUUCAGGGAGGACAAAUAUGCACUGGAGUCCACUGCUGCCAAUUACCACCAUUAUUUGUGCCCGCCAGCUUAAUCCAGUAGGUUUCAUUAUUGGCCAAUCAGCCACCAUUAUGGGCAUAAAAUAGAAACAGGAAAUAAGAGGAAGUGAUUGAUGCUCUAGGAAUAAGAUUCUGAAGAUAGGAAUAAGUCCUGGUUAUGAAUGAUUCAUGACAUUGUUGAAUUACAUGUAUUUUUUGCAUAACUUCACUAUUAAUGUAUUACUACAGCAUGGAUUGGAUGUCUAUUCAUUUUAGAUUCCUUUUUUGAUUAAGAGGUGGUUAAUGUUUUCUUAGUCUUGAAUGUGCUCUUUUGCGUGACUAAAGCAAGGACCGGAUCUCUACAAAGUUCUCAAAGUGAUUUAAUUAUGCUUAAUAGUCUAGAUUAUCACCAUCAAUAGGUGCUCUUUAUCCUUAUGAAAGUUGAGUUUAAUCAGAAUUAAUUUCAAGAUUUUCAUAUAUAAAUUUGUUAUGAUCACACAUUUACCAUUCUUUCACAGUUAGUUAAGUUUCAGAACUGAUGUAGGACGGAAAAAGCCAUGGUCAAACUUUAUGUGAAGCAUGGUGGAAAAUGGUUGAUAUAGCCUUUUCCAGUAUAGAAGUCAGGAUGUGGCUUUCCACAACAAGUUGCAUCUGAUUAUUGCUAGCAAUUUUACUAAAACCUUCUGCCGUGGUGAUGGGGUCCAAGGCAGGGGCCAGUGUCAAUAUGAGCUGUUUCAAUGAAGGAUAAGAUCGUGUAAUCAGUGAUCAGAACUUCAUGCUUAUGGUACUUCUGCUGUGCUUGAAUAGUGUUCAGCUAUGUUGAGUUUGCUUACUUUUUCACCAUACAAGGCCAUAACAAAGCGAGAGAGAAGUUCAUCUGCUAGUUAAAGACAUGCAUCCAGACCCUGCAUUUGAUGAAAAUUCUUUGCCAAGGCAAGGUGAAAGAUCCUUGGAGAAUGUCUCCGCUGUCUUCCAGAGCAUUUUUGUUCUUCUUUCUAGCUAGAAUUUUUUUCCCACUUCGGAUGAGAAUUUCCCUGGUUCCGCUUGAUUCUCUUUUGCUUGCUUUCUGAUAGAGUGUAUAUACACAUUUUCCAGCUUGAUGUCUAUUGGCUAUUCAAGUGUCAGUGCUUUUGGGAAGUAGCAGUUAAAGCUCAUGAUUCUGGUUUCAGCCACCUCUAACCUGUUAGUUGACUCUUGUUAAGAAUUUUCAGUAUGUGAUUAAAUGUUGUUGUUUUCUAAAUGGUUGUAUGCUUAUUCAGGUAGAUAAUGAAACCUGUACCAACCAACAGUUCAAAAUUUUCAACCCUGUGGCAAACUGAAGUCUGACUGUGUCUGUGAUUCGAAAGGCAACAAAAGUUGCAAGCUGAGUUUAAGGCAACACAAAGAGAAUCAGAUCUGGAGGGAGCAUAAGUGGAAAGUAUGUGAAGAAUGACCAUUCGGUUGCAAUCGUCGUAUCAUGAAGAAUUUUGUCUGGCUUAGUGUCAAAGCAAGUUGAUGUGCAUCUCAAGUUAGAAGGAUUAGCACAUUCCACUCAUUCCAAUGGCCAGCACUAUGUUGAUGUCAGCAUGAAGUCAUCACAUCAUUAGGCUUCAGAGUAAUGAUAUCUGAUUUGAGUCAGAUUACGGGUGUUCAAUCGGCUGGUCUUAGAUUGAAACAAAACUGGAAUGGGCAAAUGUUCGGACUGAAAUUGGCAGAAUGUAUGCACUGCAUACAGCAGUGUAUGAAUUGUAUUUAUUCUGUCUUCGAUGCAAAAUCGAGGUGGAUCGAAAUUUUAUUUUUUUAAUUUUUUAACCUAAGAUCGAG